rnacentral:tRNA from 1 species
GCCCCCGUAGCUCAAGGGGAUAGAGCAUCGGAUUUCUAAUCCGAGGGUUGCGGGUUCAAGUCCUGCCGGGGGCG